GAACUGUUGCUCUCCAUAGCCCGUGGAGUCUUCGGUUUAAAGAACUGCUCCCCGGGGAACAGACACUAUGUAACAUCUCAAAUGCCGGCCUGAGUGUUUGCUCAGAUUUCCACGGCAGCCGAAAGGAGUGCUUGUGUUCACUACAGGCGGGGACUGUGAAGUGUCUCUGUUCUGUGCCUCCUGAACCAUGACCUGGAGUCACAGAUUUCACAUAAAACGAUAAAGUGGGGUCCUCCCUCCCAGGGUGAGGUAGAGCCAAAGGGAACAAAGACAAGAUGGGGACAGUUUUGGAUGGAAACCUGGGAAUGCUGUAGAAGCAGCGUCAUGAAAGCCUCCAUGCUCUCUCAGACUGCACAUCUUGAACUGUAUGACUUCAUGAAAACAGACACUACAUGUAACAAGAUACUUGCCUGUGGAUACUUGGGAUGGUUCAGUUUGGAGCAACUGAAGAUAACUAUUUUAAACAGGAUAAAAGCUAUUUCAAUACUGAGUAGCAAAUACAUUUUUAAAUCAUUAUAUUACUGGCAUUACUGCCUAAUCAGUUGCCAUUUUUAUUUUGCAAGUAAUUCUAAAAAAUUCUAAAUAAA